rnacentral:sRNA from 1 species
UACAAAUGAGCCGAUUAUUGCAGCAUGUCAGGAAGAUGCCUCAGUAAAAAACAAAACAAAUAGAAAUCCAGACCGCCACCACUUUCUCCUCUCAAGAGAAAGAACUGUACUAAAGCUUUAUCCUUUUGCUAUCAAUUCUGUUAUCAGCCAGAGGGUCUGACAAGGUCAUUGUACGCAGUAAGUUUGCUCAGAUGGUUUUUUGGGGCUUUCGUUUGGAAGCUGUAUUGCAAUUUCGCUGGGUUUGAUGGACGUUGUUUCGGCGAUUCCUCUGCGACAGGAUCCUUUAUGCUCAUUGAUUUGUUUUAUAUACAUCAAUAAAAAUAACUAUAGAAUGUC